CACGGGAGCAAUAAGAACAGUUUCCAGUCAGCGCAGCUUUCCUAAAUGCAGGGAAGAGCGCCAGCACGGGAAGAACGGGGCAGUUUUGUUACUUCUGCUGGUUUAGGUAACCAGCAGCCUCCCAGUGCCGCCAUCCUUCAGCAUCCGCGUCCCUUCGGGCCUCCCGUCCCAACCCAGGUUUUGACUGUUCCACCKGGACACCGCUCAGCGGCCCCAAAACGCUGCCUGAGGCCGAGUGUGGGAUGAAACGCCCGCCCUAAGGUUAUUACAACUGGAUGUCUCUGUUAUGAAUGGUAAUUUUCCAGCCUUCCUUGAAGAGUGCCUUUUUUAGAGAAUUUAUGAGGCUCUGAAGCUAACCAAGCUGCCCUGGGUUCGGUUGCUGGCUCAUCAGUGAGAUUUACAGUCUAACUACUCCAUAAUAAGGUAAACACAGAAGUGCUCGGCCAUCAGAGGGUCUGUGGCAGAAGAAAAUUGAUGGCAAUUUCUACUCCUUUCCUCUGUCCUCUUUCUUCCUGAUGURAAAACAUGCUCRGGCUAGGUUCGAAAAGGGAGUUAARUUGUGAUAAAUUGGAAAGCUUCCCAUUGGAGAUAAAGCUCGAGCUUCUAGGGCGCUGUACUCAAAAUGUAGUUAGUUUGAGUAAAGGAAGUCAGAUCUGAAUAAGUACURUGGAACUUUAAACAGGAUUUCUAUCAAACAAUAACAAAAUACCCUCCAAAAGAGAGCUGACUCCUUGAUUAUUCUGCUGUGCUAGAUAAUUGCCAUCUAUUUUGUCAUAACUCUCCAAUUUGGAACAGCCUUGACUUUACAACUGAGAAAACAAUAUAUAGGAGAAGACAAAGUCCCAUGUGAUACUGAUUUGGUUGGCAGAGAAGAGAGGCUUGCACAUGUGCAGCAGAUAAACUGAGUUGUAAAUUAAUUUUAAUGGAAUUGAGAUUUCCUGGAAAAAUUCUUAUCUUUUUCUAGCAGAACUCGCAGUGCUUUCUCUGCUAUGUAUAUGCAAUGUCUUUGCUUCCACUUUUGCACCACUCUGGAAUAGAUUAACCUUUUAGAUAGCCCUCAUCACCGCAAUUCAUCRUGUCAUGGCAUUUUGGUAAUACAGAACUUUGGAAGACGUUGCUCUGCUCCUACUGCUGAAUGCCUUUUGCUCUCAUCACUUCCCAAAUACUCAGGGAAAGCCAGUGACUGUACACAAACAAACAAAAAAAUCUUCUUUUCUCUAAUUAGAGUCAAAAUGUAUCUUAAGAUGAUGAAAAUAAUCUCUUG